rnacentral:rRNA from 1 species
UCCGCCCGCUGGCGGCGUGCUUAACACAUGCAAGUCGAACGGAAAGGCCCUGCUUUUGUGGGGUGCUCGAGUGGCGAACGGGUGAGUAACACGUGAGUAACCUGCCCUUGACUUUGGGAUAACUUCAGGAAACUGGGGCUAAUACCGGAUAGGAGCUCCUGCUGCAUGGUGGGGGUUGGAAAGUUUCGGCGGUUGGGGAUGGACUCGCGGCUUAUCAGCUUGUUGGUGGGGUAGUGGCUUACCAAGGCUUUGACGGGUAGCCGGCCUGAGAGGGUGACCGGCAACAUUGGACUGAGAUACGGCCCAGACUCCUACGGGAGGCAGCAGUGGGGAAUAUUGCACAAUGGGCGGAAGCCUGAUGCAGCAACGCCGCGUGCGGGAUGACGGCCUUCGGGUUGUAAACCGCUUUCGCCUGUGACGAAGCGUGAGUGACGGUAAUGGGUAAAGAAGCACCGGCUAACUACGUG